rnacentral:rRNA from 1 species
GCGUUGUCCGGAUUUAUUGGGCGUAAAGAGCUCGUAGGCGGCUCGGUAAGUCGGGUGUGAAACCUCCAGGCUCAACCUGGAGACGCCACCCGAUACUGCUGUGGCUAGAGUCCGGUAGGGGAGCGUGGAAUUCCUGGUGUAGCGGUGAAAUGCGCAGAUAUCAGGAGGAACACCAGCGGCGAAGGCGGCGCUCUGGGCCGGAACUGACGCUGAGGAGCGAAGGCGU